rnacentral:rRNA from 1 species
GUAACGGCGAGUGAACAGGCAAGAGCUCAGAUUUGAAAGGCACUUUUGUGCCGUUGUAUUCUGAAGUUAGGGUCCUGAGAAACGAUGCUUAAGUCUUCUGGAAAGGAGCGCCAUGGAGGGUGAUAGCCCCGUCUAGCAUUGACCUCAUAUAGGAUCUUAACAUGGAGUCGAGUUGUUUGGGAAUGCAGCUCAAAUGGGUGGUAUGCUCCAUCUAAAGCUAAAUAUCUGCGAGAGACCGAUAGUAAACAAGUACUGUGAGGGAAAGAUGAAAAGAACUUUGAAAAGAGAGUGAAAAAGUACGUGAAAUUGUUGAAAUGGAAGGGUAGGCCGCUAACCAUGUAGAGCCGUGUUUGGGGGGAAGAUAAAUGCUGUAGAAUGUAGCUCCUCGGAGUAUUAUAGAUGCAGUUCAUAUUCCCACCCGAGCGCGAGGAUCUCAGGUUCUACUAAAUGGUGGUCUACCACCCGUCUUGAACCACGGACAAAGA